UGUCUGUUUUUCUGUCACACAAGCAGCUCCUCCUGGAAAUAUCAGGAGGUUUUUCAGGAGUUUUCUGCAGGUGUGAACGCCCUACUAGUGUCUUAAGGUACACCUGAGCAUCGCUGCAGCUAAGGUGAAAUCACUGCACGUCAUUAAAAACAACAUUUCAGGGUGUGCGGUUACGUUUUGAAAUGCAUUUGUGUUCUUCAUUGUGAUAUUUGGAGUUUUUAUUCCUGAUCAUAAAAAUCACUCCGGCCUUGUGAAGAACACGCUCUCUAACCUGCUGUGCAUUUUAACAAAAAAAAACCAACCACCUCGUUCUUUAAGCUUCACGCAGCAGCGUUCAUCAUCAGUGAGAACAUCCUGCAGCUUCAUGAGGACGUCUCACCCGAGUCAACUUAAAGAUGGACGACAGGUGCAUCACAUGACAAAGGAGCCAGUUGAGGUGGUUUGGGCGUCUGAUCAGGAUCCUCCUGGACGCCUCCCUUUGGAGGUUUUCUGGACACGCCCAACUGGGAGGAGACCCUGAUUAGACCCAGAGCUCGCUGGAGGGAUUAUAUAUCCCGUCUAGCCUGGGAACGCCUCGGAAUCCCCCAAGAGGAGGAGCUGGAAAACGUUGCUGGGGAGAGGGACGUCUGGGUUGACUUACUGCGCUCUCUGCCACCGCGACCCAACCUCAAAUCAGAGGAAGAAAAUGGAGGGAUGGACAGCGCACAUUUCCUGUCCUUUUUUUCGUAUGCCAAAAGACUGUGACGGCCGUGUACUGCCCCAAGGAACAACGCCUUUCUGCAUGACGUUCUGCAUUUGAUGGUCAGUUUGAAACGCCAUGUCUGUGAUGGAUGAUGUUUGAUUUAAAGGAAAUGUACCGUUAUCGGACGCUGUGAUUCUCGUAGUUUAAUUCUUGUACUUAAAGCUUGAACUGAUUAAUGUGUUUUAGGUUUUUGUGAACGUGUCUCCUUACAUUCUGGACUUUUUGAACGGAUCGGUCUUUAAAAUAAUUGUUUUUCUUUUAUAACAGUGAGAGCAUGAUGACUGGAUAUCCGCCUGCAUGCAUCGUCGUUGAACGUUUCCUGUCUGUGAAUCAACUCCCCAUGAAAUAAAAGCUGCUCGCUCUCAUGCU